rnacentral:rRNA from 1 species
GUUUGAUCCUGGCUCAGAGUGAACGCUGGCGGCAGGCCUAACACAUGCAAGUCGAACGGCAGCACAGGAGAGCUUGCUCUCUGGGUGGCGAGUGGCGGACGGGUGAGGAAUGCGUCGGAAUCUGCCUAUUCGUGGGGGAUAACGUAGGGAAGCUUACGCUAAUACCGCAUACGACCUACGGGUGAAAGUGGGGGACCUUCGGGCCUCACGCGGAUAGAUGAGCCGACGCCGGAUUAGCUAGUUGGCGGGGUAAAGGCCCACCAAGGCGACGAUCCGUAGCUGGUCUGAGAGGAUGAUCAGCCACACUGGGACUGAGACACGGCCCAGACUCCUACGGGAGGCAGCAGUGGGGAAUAUUGGACAAUGGGCGCAAGCCUGAUCCAGCCAUGCCGCGUGUGUGAAGAAGGCCUUCGGGUUGUAAAGCACUUUUGUUGGGGAAGAAACAGCGCAGGUUAAUAACCGGCGUGAAUGACGGUACCCAAAGAAUAAGCACCGGCUAACUUCGUGCCAGCAGCCGCGGUAAUACGAAGGGUGCAAGCGUUACUCGGAAUUACUGGGCGUAAAGCGUGCGUAGGCGGUUUGUUAAGUCUGAUGUGAAAGCCCCGGGCUCAACCUGGGAAUGGCAUUGGAUACUGGCAGGCUAGAAUGUGGUAGAGGGUGGUGGAAUUCCCGGUGUAGCGGUGAAAUGCGUAGAGAUCGGGAGGAACAUCCGUGGCGAAGGCGGCCACCUGGACCAACAUUGACGCUGAGGCACGAAAGCGCGGGGAGCAAACAGGAUUAGAUACCCUGUAGUCCACGCCCUAAACGAUGCGAACUGGAUGUUGGGCACACUUAGGUGCUCAGUGUCGAAGCUAACGCGUUAAGUUCGCCGCCUGGGGAGUACGGUCGCAAGACUGAAACUCAAAGGAAUUGACGGGGGCCCGCACAAGCGGUGGAGUAUGUGGUUUAAUUUCGAUGCAACGCGAAGAACCCUUAC